CAAUUUUAUGAGGUACCAGGGGCUUCUGUAUAUAUUAUUUAGGUUAAUCUUUUUAUUUACCCAAUGGGACUCAGUGCUCAGUCUAGAAGAUACCAUCAGAGAUGCUUAGCUUUGCAGUUCUCAAACUGUAGAUUUGUGAUCCAGAGAUAAAAACCAUUUUUGCUAUUAACAAGCUAUUAAAUAAAUAAAUAAAUAAAUAUGUAGAGGUGAGAAAUAACAGAUCUCAACCCUACUGUUCCUCUGCAAAUUUGUGUACACAGAGUCAAUCCCUUACCUCUCUCUAAAAGUGCAGUUUCAAAAAGUUCAAUGAAUAGAAGAUUGUUAGGGGAGGAAUAGAUCUGGACAAGGAGAAGAAGUCUGGAGAUAAAUAUGAGAAGGGAGGGACACGCAGUAGAAACAAAAGUGAAACUGUUUGAGCAGCAUAUUCCAGAAGUCUCGAGGUCUUUCUGAGUGUAGCCUUCAUUGAUUUGAGAGCUACCAUACCAUUCUCUCACUAGAAGGGAAAACCUAUAAUGGCAGCAGGCUGUAAAAGAGACCCAGUUUGAAAAUAUUUUAAUGAAGUUCCUCUACCUGUGGGUAAGACAAGCAUGCGUGCAAAAUGCAAACAGUGCAACAAAGAAAUGCAAGGCCUAGUUUCUCAAAUGAAAGUGUUCCUUCUCAGGAGGAAGCUGCGUUGAAGAUGGUGAAAGGAACAUGUCUGAACAUGCAGAGGAUAUUCAGUGACAUCACUGGCCCGCUGGCAGGAUUUGAGGACUGGCACUGGCUCUAAGAUUUUAAAGCCAGAAGAGAUCGUUAUGGUCAUCUAACUUGCCCUCUUGUGUAAUACAGAUCACAGAAUUUCACCCAGUGAUUCCUCAAUCAAACUCACAUGCUCUAGCUUUUAGAACAGGGAUUGGCAACCUUUGGCACACAACUUACUACAGUAAACACGUUGGCGGGCUGGGCCAGUUUGUUUACCUGUCGCAUCCGCAGGUUUGGCUGAUCGUGGCUCCCACUGGCUGCGGUUUGCCGCUCCAGGCCAAUGGAGGCUGCGGGAAGCCGCAUGGGCUGAGGGAUGUGGCUUACCCUAGCGAGCCAUGUGCCAAAGGUUGCCAAUCCCUGUUUUAGAAAGCCAUUCAAUAUUGAUUUAACAUCUAAUUUUUGGGUUGACAAAAUUAGUUUAAAAUUUGCCAGAUUUACUCUGAUAACAAAAGAGAAUUUUUUUUUGAAAAUUCAAACUGUUUUUGAAUUAAGUCAUUAAACACAUUCUUGAUCUGAAGUUGACUUGUGUGUCACCCUUUGUAGUAGUUUACCUCUUCAUUCUUUAUGUAUAAUUAAAUCUCUUUGAAAAUUCAUACAUUUAUUGUAAUUAGCAACAUUAAUUUAUUUUUGUUAUGGAUUUCAAAGCACUAUAUGUAGUUAAUACAUUCAAUUAACGUUUAUGGCUGUCCUACUGAAGGCUAGAACAUGUUCUGAAAGUUUUAAAUUAAGU